rnacentral:rRNA from 1 species
AGAGUUUGAUCCUGGCUCAGAUUGAACGCUGGCGGUAUGCUUAACACAUGCAAGUCGAACGGAAACGAAACUAGCUUGCUAGUAGGCGUCGAGUGGCGGACGGGUGAGUAACGCGUAGGAAUCUGCCUGAUAGUGGGGGAUAGCCCGAAGAAAUUCGGAUUAAUACCGCAUAAUCUAUUCGUAGUAAAGUGGGGGACUUUCGAGCCUCACGCUAUCAGAUGAGCCUGCGUAAGAUUAGCUUGUUGGUAGGGUAAAAGCCUACCAAGGCAACGAUCUUUAGCUGGUCUGAGAGGAUGAUCAGCCACAUCGGGACUGAGACACGGCCCGAACUCCUACGGGAGGCAGCAGUGGGGAAUAUUGGACAAUGGGGGCAACCCUGAUCCAGCAAUACCGCGUGUGUGAAGAAGGCCUGAGGGUUGUAAAGCACUUUCAAUUGUGAAGAAAAGUUAACGGUUAAUAACCGUUGACCUUGACGUUAACUUUAGAAGAAGCACCGGCUAACUCCGUGCCAGCAGCCGCGGUAAUACGGAGGGUGCAAGCGUUAAUCGGAAUUACUGGGCGUAAAGCGUGCGUAGGCGGUUUAUUAAGUCAGAUGUGAAGCCCCGGGCUUAACCUGGGAACUGCAUUUGAACUGGUCAACUAGAGUAUGGUAGAGGAAAGUGGAAUUUCUGGUGUAGCGGUGAAAUGCGUAGAUAUCAGAAGGAACAUCAAUGGCGAAGGCAGCUUUCUGGACCAAUACUGACGCUGAGGUACGAAAGCGUGGGUAGCAAACAGGAUUAGAUACCCUGGUAGUCCACGCCGUAAACGAUGAUAACUAGCCGUUGGGGGGAUUUACCCCUUAGUGGCGAAGCUAACGCGUUAAGUUAUCCGCCUGGGGAGUACGGCCGCAAGGCUAAAACUCAAAGGAAUUGACGGGGACCCGCACAAGCGGUGGAGCAUGUGGUUUAAUUCGAUGCAACGCGAAGAACCUUACCUGGUCUUGACAUCCUGCGAACUUUCUAGAAAUAGAUUGGUGCCUUCGGGAACGCAGUGACAGGUGCUGCAUGGCUGUCGUCAGCUCGUGUCGUGAGAUGUUGGGUUAAGUCCCGUAACGAGCGCAACCCCUAUCCUUAUUUGCCAGCACAUUAUGGUGGGAACUAUAAGGAGACUGCCGGUGAUAAACCGGAGGAAGGCGGGGACGACGUCAAGUCAUCAUGGCCCUUACGACCAGGGCUACACACGUGCUACAAUGGGAAGGACAAAGAGCCGCGAAGCCGCGAGGUGUAGCUAAUCUCAUAAAUCUUUUCGUAGUCCGGAUUGGAGUCUGCAACUCGACUCCAUGAAGUCGGAAUCGCUAGUAAUCGUAGAUCAGAAUGCUACGGUGAAUACGUUCCCGGGUCUUGUACACACCGCCCGUCAUACCAUGGGAGUGGGUUGCACCAGAAGUGGCUAGUCUAACUUUGUGAGGACGGUCACCACGGUGUGAUUCAUGACUGGGGUAAAGUCGUAACAAGGUAACC